GACGAACGCUGGCGGCGUGCUUAACACAUGCAAGUCAACUUGAACUUCGGUUUGGGUGGCGGACGGGUGAGUAACGCGUAAAGAACUUGCCUCACAGAUAGGGACAACAUUUGGAAACGAAUGCUAAUACCUGAUAUUAUGAUUUUAGGGCAUCCUAGAAUUAUGAAAGCUAUAUGCGCUGUGAGAGAGCUUUGCGUCCCAUUAGCUAGUUGGAGAGGUAACGGCUCACCAAGGCGAUGAUGGGUAGCCGGCCUGAGAGGGUGAUCGGCCACAAGGGGACUGAGACACGGCCCUUACUCCUACGGGAGGCAGCAGUGGGGAAUAUUGGACAAUGGACCAAGAGUCUGAUCCAGCAAUUCUGUGUGCACGAUGAAGUUUUUCGGAAUGUAAAGUGCUUUCAGUUGGGAAGAAAAAAAUGACGGUACCAACAGAAGAAGUGACGGCUAAAUACGUGCCAGCAGCCGCGGUAACACGUAUGUCACAAGCGUUAUCCGGAUUUAUUGGGCGUAAAGCGCGUCUAGGUGGUUAUAUAAGUCUGAUGUGAAAAUGCAGGGCUCAACUCUGUAUUGCGUUGGAAACUGUGUAACUAGAGUACUGGAGAGGUAAGCGGAACUACAAGUGUAGAGGUGAAAUUCGUAGAUAUUUGUAGGAAUGCCGAUGGGGAAGCCAGCUUACUGGACAGAUACUGACGCUGAAGCGCGAAAGCGUGGGUAGCAAACAGG
rnacentral:rRNA from 1 species